AUGCAUCCCUUAAGUGUUUCACUAGUGGUACUCUGGCUUCAACUGAGGGGAGUGAACAGCCAGCAGAAGGUGCAACAGAACCUGGAAUCCCUCAUCGUCUUAGAGGGAGCCAUGACCUCUCUCAACUGCACUUUCAGUGAUCGUAAUUUUCAGUGCUGGUACGGACAGCAUCCCUGGAAAGGCCCCACGUUGCUGAUGCCCAUCUUCUCCAAUGGCGAAAAGAAAGAAGGAUUAUUCACAGUUCAGCUCAAUAAAGAUAGCCUGCAUAUUUCCUUGCACAUCAGAGACUCCCAGCCUAGUGACUCAGCUGUCUACCUCUGUGCAGGGAACACACAAUGCUCUCCAGGCACCUGCAACCUGCACACAAACCUAGUGGGUCAUGUCAAGACCUUAGCUAGAGAACAGACCACAGGGUGCAGAAUUCUUUUUCAAUCCUAUGAGCAAUGGUAA